AGAGUUUGAUCAUGGCUCAGGAUGAACGCUAGCUACAGGCUUAACACAUGCAAGUCGAGGGGAAACGAUAUUGGAAGCUUGCUUCCGAUAGGCGUCGACCGGCGUACGGGUGAGUAACGCGUAUCCAACCUGCCCACCACUUGGGGAUAACCUUGCGAAAGUAAGACUAAUACCCAAUGACGUCUCUAGAAGACAUCUGAAAGAGAUUAAAGAUUUAUCGGUGAUGGAUGGGGAGUGCGUCUGAUUAGCUUGUUGGCGGGGUAACGGGCCCACCAAGGCGACGAUCAGUAGGGGUUCGUGAGAGGAAGGCCCCCCACCAUUGGAACUGAGACACGGUCCAAACUCCUACGGGAGGCAGCA
rnacentral:rRNA from 1 species